GGUUAAGCGACUAAGCGUACACGGUGGAUGCCCUGGCAGUCAGAGGCGAUGAAGGGCGUGCUAAUCUGCGAUAAGCGCCGGUAAGGUGAUAUGAACCGUUAUAACCGGCGAUACCCGAAUGGGGAAACCCAGUGUGACUCGUCACACUAUCAUUAACUGAAUCCAUAGGUUAAUGAGGCGAACCGGGGGAACUGAAACAUCUAAGUACCCCGAGGAAAAGAAAUCAACCGAGAUUCCCCCAGUAGCGGCGAGCGAACGGGGAGGAGCCCAGAGCCUGAAUCAGCAUGUGUGUUAGUGGAAGCGUCUGGAAAGGCGCGCGAUACAGGGUGACAGCCCCGUACACAAAAGCGCAUGUGCUGUGAGCUCGAUGAGUAGGGCGGGACACGUGGUAUCCUGUCUGAAUAUGGGGGGACCAUCCUCCAAGGCUAAAUACUCCUGACUGACCGAUAGUGAACCAGUACCGUGAGGGAAAGGCGAAAAGAACCCCGGCGAGGGGAGUGAAAAAGAACCUGAAACCGUGUACGUACAAGCAGUGGGAGCCCCACCACUAAGCCAGUGGUGAACUCCACAUACGCAUCCUUUGCUGAGGAUACGGUUAACGGAGCGCAAGCGACGUUCAACCGCAAAAGAAGCAGAGGGGGCUUAGUGGUGGGGUGACUGCGUACCUUUUGUAUAAUGGGUCAGCGACUUAUAUUCUGUAGCAAGGUUAACCGUAUAGGGGAGCCGGAGGGAAACCGAGUCUUAAUUGGGCGUUAAGUUGCAGGGUAUAGACCCGAAACCCGGUGAUCUAGCCAUGGGCAGGUUGAAGGUUGGGUAACACUAACUGGAGGACCGAACCGACUAAUGUUGAAAAAUUAGCGGAUGACCUGUGGCUGGGGGUGAAAGGCCAAUCAAACCGGGAGAUAGCUGGUUCUCCCCGAAAGCUAUUUAGGUAGCGCCUCGUGAAUUCAUCUCCGGGGGUAGAGCACUGUUUCGGCUAGGGGGCCAUCCCGGCUUACCAACCCGAUGCAAACUGCGAAUACCGGAGAAUGUUAUCACGGGAGACACACGGCGGGUGCUAACGUCCGUCGUGAAGAGGGAAACAACCCAGACCGCCAGCUAAGGUCCCAAAGUCAUGGUUAAGUGGGAAACGAUGUGGGAAGGCCCAGACAGCCAGGAUGUUGGCUUAGAAGCAGCCAUCAUUUAAAGAAAGCGUAAUAGCUCACUGGUCGAGUCGGCCUGCGCGGAAGAUGUAACGGGGCUAAACCAUGCACCGAAGCUGCGGCAGCGAACGUAUCACUUAAAGCGAUUCAGCGGGUUACGAUUGACGGAGCGAAGCGACGUCAAAGCGUAUACAAAGUCGAGUCGGUUUAAGGAUACGUUCGUUGGGUAGGGGAGCGUUCUGUAAGCCUGUGAAGGUGGCCUGUGAGGGUUGCUGGAGGUAUCAGAAGUGCGAAUGCUGACAUAAGUAACGAUAAAGCGGGUGAAAAGCCCGCUCGCCGGAAGACCAAGGGUUCCUGUCCAACGUUAAUCGGGGCAGGGUGAGUCGACCCCUAAGGCGAGGCCGAAAGGCGUAGUCGAUGGGAAACGGGUUAAUAUUCCCGUACUUGGUGUUACUGCGAAGGGGGGACGGAGAAGGCUAUGUUGGCCGGGCGACGGUUGUCCCGGUUUAAGCGUGUAGGUGUGUGUUCCAGGUAAAUCCGGUUCACUUUAACACUGAGGCGUGAUGACGAGGCACUACGGUGCUGAAGCAACAAAUGCCCUGCUUCCAGGAAAAGCCUCUAAGCAUCAGGUAACAUCAAAUCGUACCCCAAACCGACACAGGUGGUCAGGUAGAGAAUACCAAGGCGCUUGAGAGAACUCGGGUGAAGGAACUAGGCAAAAUGGUGCCGUAACUUCGGGAGAAGGCACGCUGACAUGUAGGUGAAGUGAUUUACUCAUGGAGCUGAAGUCAGUCGAAGAUACCAGCUGGCUGCAACUGUUUAUUAAAAACACAGCACUGUGCAAACACGAAAGUGGACGUAUACGGUGUGACGCCUGCCCGGUGCCGGAAGGUUAAUUGAUGGGGUCAGCGCAAGCGAAGCUCCUGAUCGAAGCCCCGGUAAACGGCGGCCGUAACUAUAACGGUCCUAAGGUAGCGAAAUUCCUUGUCGGGUAAGUUCCGACCUGCACGAAUGGCGUAAUGAUGGCCAGGCUGUCUCCACCCGAGACUCAGUGAAAUUGAACUCGCUGUGAAGAUGCAGUGUACCCGCGGCAAGACGGAAAGACCCCGUGAACCUUUACUAUAGCUUGACACUGAACAUUGAGCCUUGAUGUGUAGGAUAGGUGGGAGGCUUUGAAGCGUGGACGCCAGUCUGCGUGGAGCCGGCCUUGAAAUACCACCCUUUAAUGUUUGAUGUUCUAACGUGGACCCGUGAUCCGGGUUGCGGACAGUGUCUGGUGGGUAGUUUGACUGGGGCGGUCUCCUCCUAAAGAGUAACGGAGGAGCACGAAGGUUGGCUAAUCCUGGUCGGACAUCAGGAGGUUAGUGCAAUGGCAUAAGCCAGCUUGACUGCGAGCGUGACGGCGCGAGCAGGUGCGAAAGCAGGUCAUAGUGAUCCGGUGGUUCUGAAUGGAAGGGCCAUCGCUCAACGGAUAAAAGGUACUCCGGGGAUAACAGGCUGAUACCGCCCAAGAGUUCAUAUCGACGGCGGUGUUUGGCACCUCGAUGUCGGCUCAUCACAUCCUGGGGCUGAAGUAGGUCCCAAGGGUAUGGCUGUUCGCCAUUUAAAGUGGUACGCGAGCUGGGUUUAGAACGUCGUGAGACAGUUCGGUCCCUAUCUGCCGUGGGCGCUGGAGAACUGAGGGGGGCUGCUCCUAGUACGAGAGGACCGGAGUGGACGCAUCACUGGUGUUCGGGUUGUCAUGCCAAUGGCACUGCCCGGUAGCUAAAUGCGGAAGAGAUAAGUGCUGAAAGCAUCUAAGCACGAAACUUGCCCCGAGAUGAGUUCUCCCUGAGACUUAAAGUCUCCUGAAGGAACGUUGAAGACGACGACGUUGAUAGGCCGGGUGUGUAAGCGCAGCGAUGCGUUGAGCUAACCGGUACUAAUGAACCGUGAGGCUUAACCUU
rnacentral:rRNA from 1 species